rnacentral:rRNA from 1 species
ACGGAGGAUGCGAGCGUUAUCCGGAUUUAUUGGGUUUAAAGGGCGCGUAGGCGGAAAAAUAAGUCAGUGGUGAAAGCCUUCAGCUUAACUGGAGACUUGCCAUUGAUACUGUUAUUCUUGAGUAUGGUUAAGGUAGGCGGAAUGUGUAAUGUAGCGGUGAAAUGCUUAGAUAUUAGACAGAACACCAAUGGCGAAGGCAGCUUACUGAGCCAAAACUGACGCUGAUGCGCGAAAGCGUGGGGAGCGAACAG